CCUACGGGUGGCUGCAGUGGGGAAUAUUGCGCAAUGGGCGAAAGCCUGACGCAGCCACGCCGCGUGAGCGAUGAAGGCCUUCGGGUCGUAAAGCUCUGUGGGGAGAGAAGAAUAAAGCCUGUGAAGAGCGGGCCUUGACGGUAUCUCCUUAGCAAGCACCGGCUAACUCCGUGCCAGCAGCCGCGGUAAUACGGAGGGUGCGAACGUUGUUCGGAUUCAUUGGGCGUAGGCGGCGAGUUAAGUGCGGUGUGAAAGCCCCGGGCUCAACCCGGGAAGUGCAUUCAAAACUGUUUCGCUUGAAUCUCGGAGGGGGUCAGAGAAUUCCCGGUGUAGAGGUGAAAUUCGUAGAUAUCGGGAGGAAUACCAGUGGCGAAGGCGCUGACCUGGACGAAGAUUGACGCUGAGGUGCGAAAGCGCGGGGAGCAAACAGGAUUAGAUACCCCGGUAGUC
rnacentral:rRNA from 1 species